AUCUUUACCUCGGGGGGCCAAUUUGGCUGAGAUGCGUUUACGCGAACCCGUCGAACCUGAACCGGAUCAUACCGGCGUAGGGAAGGUUUCGUUUCAAACG
rfam:alpha proteobacterium HTCC2255 scf_1100007007381 genomic scaffold, whole genome shotgun sequence.